rnacentral:rRNA from 1 species
GUCUACAACCACAUCACCCUGAAUGAACCAGAUCUCGUCUGAUUUUAGAAGCUAAGCAGGGUUGGGCCUGGUUAGUACUUGGAUAGGAGAACCACCUAGAGAUGGAUC